AAGGAGCAGAGUGGGUAGACUCUAGAAAGAUGGCAGAAGACAGAUGGUUCAGAGGUGUUGUGGACCUACACCUACACAUCAAACCUCCUGUCCCAGGCUUAUCCUGGGCUCUGUUUCCCCGUGUGGGUCCUGUCAGUGUGCAUUACAAGAGUAUUCUGGCACAAAACAAAUGACUUCAAACUAUGUAACUAUGUAUUCUGGCCUACAGACUCAUAUUGGCUCUCCAGAUAUCAUCUCAUACACUCUGCAAGUA
rnacentral:lncRNA from 1 species